rnacentral:lncRNA from 1 species
CGUGGAAGUUUGGAUGUUUUUCUGAAGGUGAUGAUGGUGAAGGGCGGGGGCACCGAAGGGUUUUGAUGGAGGAUCAAAGUGAUUGGAUUUGGAUUUUUCCAAGAUUACUAGGACAGAUAUGGGUGAAUGGCAUUGAGGAGAAACUGAAGGCAGAAGAAGGCCCACUGAGGAAACCGCUCCACUAGUCUGGGCCAGAGAGGGUGAUGGAGCUGAAUUUGCAGGGCCAAUGUCAUGGGCACUGAGAGGAGAGGAUGGAUUCAGGGCAUAUCUGGGUUGGUGUUGAGGAGAUGUGGAGAAUGUUUGUGGGAAGGAGGGAGAAGUAGGGAAUCUGACAUCUGACGCCUGGCCCAGGAGACUGGCCGGAUGAUGCUGCGGUAACCAAGAUGGCACACAGAGGGGAAAGGGCGUCUUAGACAGAAGCUGGCAAGUUCAGUUUUGCCCCCUCUUUCCUUUGCCUUGUCUUCCUCCUAUAACACCCGAUUAAAGGAGGAAGCCAUCCUCACCAGCACUUACAACACACCCAAAUUACCCCUGAUGAAUCCCGAUGUUAAUGAUUUGACCAGCACCCCUCGGGGUACUGAGGGCAAGUUCAGCUUUAGAUAUAUGACUCUGUGUUGUUUAAACCUGAAAUUGUCUUCCCUUACUUUUAUUUAAAGGACAAAUGCUACUCCCCAGCGAUCAGAUGCACAGAUACUUGCAGUUUCAAAGUUUGAGGUGCUGGCAGGUCAAGACAAAAGCUUCUCCAUGUUUCAGGGUGACAAGAGGUCUUCA